CCUACGGGCGGCUGCAGUGAGGAAUAUUGGUCAAUGGACGAGAGUCUGAACCAGCCAAGUAGCGUGAAGGAUGACUGCCCUAUGGGUUGUAAACUUCUUUUAUAUGGGAAUAAAAUGUUCCACGUGUGGGCUUUUGUAUGUACCAUAUGAAUAAGGAUCGGCUAACUCCGUGCCAGCAGCCGCUGUAAUACGGAGGAUCCGAGCGUUAUCCGGAUUUAUUGGGUUUAAAGGGAGCUCAGGUGGAUUGUUAAGUCAGUUGUGAAAGUUUGCGGCUCAACCGUAAAAUUGCAGUUGACACUGGCAGUCUUGAGUACAGUAGAGGUGGGCGGAAUUCGGGGUGUAGCGGUGAAAUGCUUAGAUAUCACGAAGAACUCCGAUUGCGAAGGCAGCUCACUGGACUGCAACUGACACUGAGGCUCGAAAGUGUGGGUAUCAAACAGGAUUAGAUACCCUAGUAGUC
rnacentral:rRNA from 1 species